rnacentral:rRNA from 1 species
ACUCGAUCACAUGUAGAGGGGAAUAGCAGGUUGUGCGUCUCUGUUAGAGACUAUUACUGUUACAUGCUUCAGACACGGCCUGCGAUCUUCAAUCCCAUACUCUGUGGAGCACGCCUGCUGCAGCAAUGGGUGGUCGACAUGUAUGUCAAGAUUGAGAGUUGUCGGUUGAGGUGGUACAUGAAGAACCAGACGCAGAUUCGGGCCGACUUGUAUAAAGGAGUUGUUGAUGCGAUCACAUCGGGGGAGACGCGAGCAAGCGCUAUUGGGACAAGGAUAGUGCUCCCUGGAACAUACCCAGGUGGCAAGCGCGACAUGAAGAAGAGGCAUAUGGAUGCCAUGGCAAUUGUCCAUACAUACGGGAAGCCUGACAUUUUCUUGACCAUGACUUGCAAUCCAAAAUGGGAAGAGAUAACUAAUGAGUUGUUGCCUGGUCAGACUGCGCAAGACCGACCUGAUAUUGUGGCUCGCGUGUUCUACGACAAACUAGAGGCUAUGAAAGACAUGUUGUUCAAGAAGCAGAUCCUAGGUGUUGUUGUCGCUUAUGUAUAG